rnacentral:rRNA from 1 species
UACGAAGGGGGGCUAGCGUUGCUCGGAAUCACUGGGCGUAAAGGGGUGCGUAGGCAGGGUUUUUAAGUCAGGGGUGAAAUCCCGAGGCUCAACCUCGGAACUGCCUUUGAUACUGGGGAUCUCGAGUCGGGAGAGGUGAGUGGAACUCCGAGUGUAGAGGUGAAAUUCGUAGAUAUUCGGAGAACACCAGUGGCGAAAGGCGCUCACUGGCCCGGUUACUGACGCUGAGGUGCGAAAGCGUGGGGGAGCAAACAGG